rnacentral:lncRNA from 1 species
UUGCACCGCAUUCUUUGUAGUGGAUGUGGGUGAAUGCUGUAUGAUCCAAUUAGUCCCUGAGGAAAGACCAGGACCCCAUUCUACGGCCUGGCAUGGUAUGAAAGACCAGGACCCCAUUCUAUGGCCUGGCACGGUAUGGAAUGCGAAGACCAGGUGCCAGAUGAGACCCUGGGGCAAUGGUAAGUAAUGUUAUGAUAUGACAGGAAGACCAGGACCCCAUUCUACGGCCUGGUACGGAUAUGAUGCUGGGACUAUUUAGUGACGGGUUCACCCUUGAUGUGAUUUGUCUGUGAUAUGAUGGAUUACAUGAUGGCAU